rnacentral:rRNA from 1 species
UACGUAGGGUGCAAGCGUUAAUCGGAAUUACUGGGCGUAAAGCGUGCGCAGGCGGCUAUGCAAGACAGAUGUGAAAUCCCCGGGCUCAACCUGGGAACUGCAUUUGUGACUGCAUGGCUAGAGUACGGUAGAGGGGGAUGGAAUUCCGCGUGUAGCAGUGAAAUGCGUAGAUAUGCGGAGGAACACCGAUGGCGAAGGCACUCCCCUGGACCUGUACUGACGCUCAUGCACGAAAGCGUGGGGAGCAAACAGG